rnacentral:rRNA from 1 species
UACGUAGGGCGCAAGCGUUGUCCGGAAUUAUUGGGCGUAAAGAGCUCGUAGGCGGCUUGUCGCGUCGGCUGUGAAAACCUGGGGCUCAACCCUGGGCCUGCAGCCGAUACGGGCAAGCUAGAAUUCGGUAGGGGAGACUGGAAUUCCUGGUGUAGCGGUGAAAUGCGCAGAUAUCAGGAGGAACACCGGUGGCGAAGGCGGGUCUCUGGGCCGUAACUGACGCUGAGGAGCGAAAGCGUGGGGAGCGAACAGG